UUCUUAUCUUCCAGCAAUUUAACAUGAAACUUUCAAUUGCAUUUUUUCUCAGAAACAUUCUUUGAAUCUUUUUUCUACGUCUGUGUUCUUCGCUUCACUUUCAGUUUCAGCUGUUGUGCCUCUGUGACGUUUUUGCCUUUUGGUGAGCACACUUGUUCUCUGGCUGUUGCACUUAUUAUUUUUUUCCCUCUUUAUUUCUCUGCUCUGCUUGAUUAAUUUCUUCUGCGCCUCACCAAACAAUACCUCUUUAAAACUUUCAACUCGCGAGACAUGCUCUGUAAUUUCAAAAUUUUGCUAUGGAUUUCGGUCAAUUUGUAAUAGAUACUAAUUUUGCUCCAGCAACAUUGAUUUAGGAAGAUAGGGUUAUUGAUAUCUCCAUUUUACUGUUGUUAUUUGCUUAUUUUUGUACUUUAGAAUAUUUACUCUCUCUUUUGCAUGUGGUGGAUAUUGAUUCUUAUCAAACUCGGCCUCAAGUACAAAUAAUUAGAGGUAGAAACUACAUUGAAACAGAUGCAUUCUCAGAACAAAAACAGUUCUUCCUACUUGGCAGAACGAAACGCAGAAAUGAAUUUCAGACGGCGUGAGAAAUAUAAGCAAAUGGCAUCCACCGAAAAACAGGCUCUACUGCUAAAACGCCGACUACGAGCAAAAAAAUCUACCGCAUCUGUAGUGUCAUCUGAAACAGCUAUUAUGCAUCGCGCCACUACGUUGGCAGGCCACUAUGACAGGGCAACAAAUUCUGCCCACCCAUCCUCAAUAUUUGAAGUAGGCAAGUACAAUCCUCUACGUAAAAAGUUUUUACCAUUUUUAACUGAGAAAAUAUUUACUUAUAUUUAUCCUAAAAUUAUCUGCUACUAGGGUCAAUGUCUGGUACGGCUAAUGAACAAAAUCAGAAUUCUUACACUAUUCUGAAUAAAGGUUGUGUAUAUUGCAGCAUUAUUUCUUACCAAUCUGGCUUUGCUUCUCCCUUCAUUCAUUUUGACGUUUUGGUAGUUGCAAUCAUUAGCCAAAUGUGAUCAGAAUAUGUCCCACUAAAACUAUUUUUCCGUUGUAAGUUCUGUCUGAGCUAAGAAAUUUCAGUUUGAACCUCCUACAUUUUGUUGUCACAAUGGUUCAGUUAGCUUAACUACACACAAAAUGCCCACAAAAUUGCAGAAUUUAUAUGUAGGAAAUACUGAGGAAUCUAAACGCUUUCGCACAUACAUUAGAACAUACAAUAAUAUCUUUGCAUUUACAUCACUUAGUGUGAGCUACUACAAAGAUUUAGCGAGAAGAAAUCAUAGUAUUUAUACUUUUAGUGUUCAAGGACAAAUGUAUCAUUUCAUAGAUGAUCUAUUUCCUGCGAACGAAAAGGCAAAAAAUUUGCAAUUAUACUUCUAUGACAAUGAUAAUGAAGUAGCAAACAUAAUGGCUUGUUCCGAUAGGAUUGAUGAAAGUAUAGUUAGAAAUCUGAUGGACUUGCUGGGAAAUAAUCCAUAUUCUAUUUUUUUAAGAUCGUUGACUGAUGUUUCAAACCUGCCGAUCUUCUAUAUUGUGCUUAAAUGUGAUGCAGUCUUGAAUCAACGAAUAUAUAAUCUCCAUAUUGCAUCAGAAGUUGAUGCAAUAUGGGUUGAAGAAAAUAGUAGUAAUGUUGUUCAAGCACCUCAUAUUCGAAUUUAUACUAGUAGUAAUAGAUCACAAUUAGUAAAUUAUUAUUAUGGAUAUUAUGAUCCUUUACAGUAUCCAUUACUAUUUCCAUAUGGUCAAGGGGGAUGACAUUGUAAAAUUAAAAAAAUUAUGCCUGCGACUAAAGCUCAUACACAAACUAUUUCUUAUCAAAAUGAAGAGUUACCAAAUAUUAGAAAUAUGUAUUCAAUUGAUGGAUAUCUUGAAAUGGAAGAGCAGGUGCUUCAACGGAAAAAACAAAAAAAGGCAAUGUUUCUAUUCGUGAGUAUUAUUGUUACAAACUUCAAAUGAGAAAUGACGAUGAAGAUGAUAUUUUACACACAGGAAGACUAUUUCAGCAAUACUCUAUAGAUGAGUAUAUAAAACUUGAAACACAGAUUAGACUUUAUGUCAUUUAAUCCAGACUUGUUCA